CAACUCUACCUUCUACAUCAAGGUGUAUAUAUUUAGAAGGUGAAUUUUUGUCGAUUUGGCAGGUAGACAUUUUGGAUUUUGGCCGGUCGAGAAACUUCAAAGUUUGUUUACUUAAUCAUAUGGUUUGGGACUACCAAAAUAAACAAACAUAAAGCAUCGUUUUUCGGUUCAGUAAACCAAGUUUCUACAUUUAUCAUCGUCGUUGCACAUAGCACUGAAGAUAAACAGUUCCUUUACCAGCUCUAAAAAGAAAUUUGCGUGACGUUGUUUUCUUCAUACAGCUACCAAAGGCCUAUCGGACGUAUCGAAUUACGGCAUACCACUCGAUAAAAUUACACUGGUAGAUUAAGUGAAGCUGUUCGAUUCUCGUGCUAAGUACCAUAAAUUACAAGGAAUAGGAUAGAAUUGUGCCGCAUCCACCUCGAAACCCUUAUCUUUCGUACCCGUCAGGCGUAUAAUGCUUCACUGGAUAGCAUUAGCAAUUAUGCGUAGAUUGUUCGGAAAGUUUCACUAUGAUUUGAAAGCACCAGCACCACCAGUGCGUGGACCGUAAAGUAUCAGUAUCAUGAUGUGCUGCCUCCACUGGAUCCAGGUAAGGACUCCAUCGAUCAUCGGUGUAAGAACGUUUAUAUUGAAUGA